AUUGAACGCUGGCGGCAGGCCUAACACAUGCAAGUCGAACGGUAACAGGAAGAAGCUUGCUUCUUUGCUGACGAGUGGCGGACGGGUGAGUAAUGUCUGGGAAACUGCCUGAUGGAGGGGGAUAACUACUGGAAACGGUAGCUAAUACCGCAUAACGUCGCAAGACCAAAGAGGGGGACCUUCGGGCCUCUUGCCAUCGGAUGUGCCCAGAUUGGAUUAGCUAGUAGGUGGGGUAACGGCUCACCUAGGCGACGAUCCCUAGCUGGUCUGAGAGGAUGACCAGCCACACUGGAACUGAGACACGGUCCAGACUCCUACGGGAGGCGGCAGUGGGGAAUAUUGCACAAUGGGCGCAAGCCUGAUGCAGCCAUGCCGCGUGUAUGAAGAAGGCCUUCGGGUUGUAAAGUACUUUCAGCGGGGAGGAAGGGAGUAAAGUUAAUACCUUUGCUCAUUGACGUUACCCGCAGAAGAAGCACCGGCUAACUCCGUG
rnacentral:rRNA from 1 species